CCUGGUUGAUCCUGCCAGUAGUCAUAUGCUUGUCUCAAAGCUUAAGCCAUGCAAGUCUCAGUACAGACUAUAUUAAAGUGAAACCGCAAAAGGCUCAGUAAACCAGUUUUAAUUUACUAGAGUUAACUUGACUGUGUUUGGAUAACUGUGGUAAUUCUAGAGCUAAUACAUGCAACUAAGCCGUGACCAUUCGUGGUCAGGGCGCUUUUAUUAGACCAAGACCAAUCGCCCGGCCAGUCCGGGCGUUAAGUUGAUGAACCUAGAUAACACAGCAGAUCGCAUGGUCUUCGUACCGGCGACUUAUCUUUCAAAUGCCUGACUUAUCAACUGACGAUGGUAGACUCUGUGUCUACCAUGGCUGUUACGGGUAACGGGGAAUCAGGGUUCGAUUCCGGAGAGGGAGCCUGAGAAACGGCUACCACAUCCAAGGAAGGCAGCAGGCACGCAAAUUACCCACUCCCGGAACGGGGAGGUAGUGACAAAAAAUAACGAUACGGGACUCGAUAUGAGGCCUCGUAAUCGGAAUGAGUACACUCUAAAUCCUUUAACAAAAAUCUAUUGGAGGGCAAGUCUGGUGCCAGCAGCCGCGGUAAUUCCAGCUCCAAUAGCGUAUAUUAAAGUUGUUGCGGUUAAAAAGCUCGUAGUUGGUUCUGCGUCCCGCGCUGUCGGUACACCGUUUGUCGGUGACACUGGCAUGACGCGGGAUGUCCUGUCGGUGGCGGCGGAGACCAUAUCGUCGUCGGAUAACACCGCGGCGUGUUGGCCUUCUGUCGCCGGCUAUAUCCUACCGCGGUGCUCUUCACUGAGUGUCGAGGUAGGCCGACACGUUUACUUUGAACAAAUUAGAGUGCUUAAAGCAGGCAAAAAUCUCUGCCAGAAUAGUGGUGCAUGGAAUAAUGGAACAGGACCUUGGUUCUAUUCUGUUGGUCUCCGGAACACAAGGUAAUGAUCAAUGUGGACAGGCGGGGGCAUUCGUAUUGCGGCGUUAGAGGUGAAAUUCUUGGAUCGUCGCAAGACGCACUAGAGCGAAAGCAAUUGCCAAGUAUGUCUUAAUUGAUCAAGAACGAAAGUUAGAGGUUCGAAGGCGAUCAGAUACCGCCCUAGUUCUAACCAUAAACGAUGCCAGCCAGCGAUCCGCCGAUGUUCCUUUGAUGACUCGGCGGGGAGCUUUCCCCGGGAAACCAAAGCUUUUGGGUUCCGGGGGAAGUAUGGUUGCAAAGCUGAAACUUAAAGGAAUUGACGGAAGGGCACCACCAGAAGUGGAGCCUGCGGCUUAAUUUGACUCAACACGGGAAACCUCACCAGGUCAGGACAUUGGAAUGAUUGACAGAUUGAUAGCUCUUUCUUGAUUCAGUGGGUAGUGGUGCAUGGCCGUUCUUAGUUGGUGGAUCGAUUUGUCUGGUUAAUUCCGAUAACGAACGAGACUCUAGCCUAUUAACUAGACGCGUUUGGUAUCGAAUCUACCGGCGAACUAUAUUCUUCUUAAGGGGACAGGCGGCUUUUAGCCGCACGAGAUUGAGCAAUAACAGGUCUGUGAUGCCCUUAGAUGUCCUGGGCCGCACGCGCGCUACACUGAAGGAAUCAGCGUGUGCGUUCCCUUGGCCGAAAGGUCCGGGUAACCCGCUGAACCUCCUUCGUGCUAGGAAUUGGGGCUUGCAAUUGUUCCCCAUGAACGAGGAAUUCCCAGUAAGCGCGAGUCAUAAGCUCGCGUUGAUUACGUCCCUGCCCUUUGUACACACCGCCCGUCGCUACUACCGAUUGAAUGAUUUAGUGAGGUCUUCGGACUGGCGGUAAGCCCAACCGACUCUGUCGGUUUUGUCGAACGCUGGAAAGAUGACCAAACUUGAUCAUUUAGAGGAAGUAAAAGUCGUAACAAGGUUUCCGUAGGUGAACCUGCGGAAG
rnacentral:rRNA from 1 species